rfam:Catenovulum agarivorans DS-2 contig134, whole genome shotgun sequence.
UGGAGGAAGCCGCUAGCAAAAUUGCGAGCUGAUGAACAAAAACAUCAUAUUAGGCGUAGGCUGAAGACGAGUUAGCACAAGAUAACGAAGUCACGUGAUCUAACGGCCACCGUAAAUGAUGCAGUUGUGCAAUGAAAGUUAAUGUU